GGCAGUAUUGUCCAGUUUCUUCGUUCGUGUUUUCUUAGUAAGAAACAAAACGCAGCCUCAGUUACCAGCAAAAUCACUGGCUGGAGCCGGAAGUCAGCAUACAGCAUUCAAACUCUUACAAUUCAAAGACCUCUCAAGAGAUUGUUGUUGGCCAAGGAAGGAAAACAAAAGCCUUGUCAGCAGAAUAACAAUAUUGUUCUGCGGCUUAAUGUAAGAUGUACUUGGUUUUUGAGUAAUAAAACUGUCCGGUGAACAGAAGUUUUGAGAUUAAGGUGAGUCCAGGUAUUGUUAUUACAAUUCAAAGACCUCAGGGUCAAUUCUCAGAAGUUUC